UACAGAGACUGCAAGCGUUAUUCGGAUUCACUGGGCGUAAAGGGUGCGCAGGCGGCCAAGUGUGUUAGGCGUGAAAGCCCGGGGCUUAACCCCGGAAUUGCACCUAAAACUACAUGGCUAGAGCAUUGGAGAGGGUAGCGGAAUUCACGGUGUAGCAGUGAAAUGCGUAGAUAUCGUGAGGAAUACCAGAGGCGAAGGCGGCUACCUGGACAAUUGCUGACGCUCAGGCACGAAAGCGUGGGGAGCAAAAGGG
rnacentral:rRNA from 1 species